rfam:Calothrix sp. PCC 7507, complete genome.
CUAAUUGAAUAAAUCAAGCCGGAGACAGCAGGUGCAUAUCGCUUAAUAUCCUGCCGAGGUUGAAACCCUGAAUACUCAAAGUGACGCUUGUAAAACUGCGAUCGCUAAGGUAUGAAGAGUAAUACCACUAAACCCCGGCUAAAGCAGCUGGGGUUUGUUGUUUGGAUU